GACUAUCUGAACACAGUAGCCUAGUGGUGAACAGAGUGGUGUUUGACACGAGGCGGACUGAGUUCAAAUCCCA
rnacentral:precursor_RNA from 1 species